ACUUUAUGCAGAUUAAUGGCUUGGAACAAGAUUUCCACACGCAAAGAUGCAAAACAAAGAGGAGAGAAAAUUUCGAGUGGAAAUUGUUACGUAAAACGUUGAUUGAAAAGUUUUGGAUGCACAUUUCAUCAAAACUAACGGUUAGAUUGGGCGAUGGAAAAUGCCCAUAUAAGGUAAUGUUUUCAUCUUGGACGGUCAGUGACAAUACAUCUGACGCAUAAGCACAUUAUUUGCGAUAAGAUCAUGGCUAUGUAAAUAAUUUAAGAUCUGCCAACAAAGCGUUUCCUUUGUUACGAUCGAAACCACUGGCUAAGCACAUUCUUGGACGCACACGUAAUACAAAAACAGGAAACUGAAAGCGAUUACUAAGCACCUUUGGCCUAUGAUAACAAAGAAUUCAUUCACGUUAUGCAAGUUUUCCCACGAUAUACAUGGCGCCAGCGAUUCAACCUAGUGCAUCGUUGACAGGCGAUUGAAAACCUUUCUGUGACAGGUGCAUGUGAGGAGAAAAUACAAGAUAAUCAAAACGGCGCUAACAGCUCUAUUUGAAACCAUUUCAAGGAAAAUAAACUAUCUAGAAGAGAACAUUAUCAAGAUUUAAGUCUUGGAAAUCGAUAGUAUACGCCAAGUUGGUCAAAGUGAAAGGAAAUUUUUGUGCGUGCAGGUAUGCCAAGUCGGUAGUCUUUUGAUUGAAACGAAUAUUGGAGGAAACGAGUAACACUCGAGCGUGGCCCACGCGGAGAAAUUUUCCGCGUGUGCCGUUCAGACUUUGAACCAUACUUUCAGAUGAACCAAAAUUCGAUUUAUAUGAAUUUGUUGAAAGUCUGUCCGAUGUAAGUACUGUGUCAUUUUGUGUAAUUUGGUUUUACUAACGUUACUGGAGUUGCAAAAGCUGAGGCGAGAGGUUUCCAUACUCUGGUCUAAAUGUGUUUAUCGAGGCACUGGUAUAACUCACGCUAUAAGUUUCUUAAAAAUGGAAUUACGGAGGGAACAUCACCGUUCAUAUCCUCUCUUACAGUUGGGAUAAUCAUGUACUUAAAGCUGAGAAAUAUUUACAUGCUUUCUAUAUCUCUUUGUAGCUCGGGGGAUGCUGUAAACGAUCAACAUAAAUCCUUUAUGAUCAAGAAUACCACGCUGACAAUGGAUUUAUACUCGAGAGGCCUGUCAAAAGAUAUGGUGUAGAAAAACUCCGAGUUUUGGCCUCGCAAGGUGGUGUUAUCAAAAUCACAAGGGACGC